CAGUAGCCACGGUAAUACGGAGGGUGCAAGCGUUAUCCGGAUUUAUUGGGUUUAAAGGGUCCGUAGGCGGACUUAUAAGUCAGUGGUGAAAGCCUGUCGCUUAACGAUAGAACUGCCAUUGAUACUGUAAGUCUUGAGUAUAUUUGAGGUAGCUGGAAUAAGUAGUGUAGCGGUGAAAUGCAUAGAUAUUACUUAGAACACCAAUUGCGAAGGCAGGUUACCAAGAUAUAACUGACGCUGAGGGACGAAAGCGUGGGUAGCGAACAGGAUUAGAUACCCAGUAGUCCCUGUCUCUUAUACC
rnacentral:rRNA from 1 species